AUGACUUCUCCCUCCUUGCCUCCUCCUCCUCCUCCUCUUCUUCUUCCCACCCACACAGACACAGGCAACACAAGGUUUUUCCUCCCCUCUCAACUACCCAACACGCUUCUCGCCGAUUUCAUUUCACGACAUUUUCCUCCCGAUCUUCAUGCCAAAGCUUCUCGCCAUCGCCAUCUUGCCGUUUAUUUUGGUCGUAGCCAAGCACUGAAUCUUCAACGCGCUUGCCGUUUAUUUUGCAGAGCGGCGAGGGAGGAGAAGGAAGAGGAGCGGGAGAUGGCGGGCUGCGGUGAAGCCAAGACAUCAUCGGUUUCCAUGGAUGAAGAGGCAUGCGGCUUGGAGAAGAAGAAGUUUGGCGGGAUGGCGCCCAAGAAGCCUCUCAUAUCAAAGGACCAUGAGCGUGCCUACUUCGACUCCGCAGAUUGGGUCCUUGGCAAGCAAGCUGCAAACAGCAGCUCAACGGCUGCAGUCGAAUCGCUCAAGCCCAAGCUCAAGAGAACUCCUCAUCCCCAGCUUCCCCCUCGCAAGCCCACCUGUGCGUCUGGCUGA
rnacentral:rRNA from 1 species